rnacentral:lncRNA from 10 species
CAAUCAGUUGCAAGGGUGAUUUACUAUUUCUGCAAAAUGCUCUAACUGCAUUAAUCUUUGCUCGGAACUGAGUCACUGCAGAAAAUGACACAAGCUAUAAGUAGCUUCAGUCACACACGCUGGAAUAGAGUUCUGUCAGACCACUUCCAGAGGCUACGAUGAAUCAUCUUGCUACUUAUUUUGAGCAGCCCACAAAAACAAAAGGAAAGUUACUUCACCCCUGAGGGCUCGAUUCAGAAUAGAGAUUGAGAAUCACGGAUCUCCCUGAACCAUCCAACUUUCAAAGAUGAAUAAACUGAGGACCCAGAGGUGAAGUGAUUUUUCCACAGUCCCACCAACAGAUAUGGCCAAACCAGGGAUCCUUUUGCAUUGUGAUUGUGAAGACAGAAGAAGUCAACCUGAAAACAAACCACAGUUUGGAAUCAAGCCAAGGUUAGCAUCAGUUGACCCACAGAUCCAAUUUUUUCAUAAUCAAGAAAUAAAUGUGUGUGUUUACAUGCUAUUGAGUUUUGAAAUUACUUUUUGACCAAUAUCAUUGCAGUAAAAGCUUAGUGAUAGAAAUAUUAAUAUUGAUCAAUGAAUUGGGGUGUUAUCAGAUUGCUGUGUCCUCUUUUAACUUAAUGGUUUUGGCAACCAUUGAUGAUUAUUGCAUAGAUCCUUUACCUCAUUAUGGGAUGCGAUGUGGUGAUAGUCUAAGUCUGUCAUUCCUCACUCAUGUAUUAAUCCCAGCAGAGUACCUGAGAAGGAAACUUGGGUAUGGUUUUGUAAACCAAAAAUAAAAUUCCGAAGUCCCCCAACCAUCUGAAUAGACUUCCUCCUCAGCCAGGGCUGUUUUAAAAUUUAACCCAAGAGAUUGUUCCAGGCCAUGAUGAGAAGUGAGAGUAGAACAUGCCUCAUUAUACCUCUCCAGCAUUAACAUCAACACAGACAUUAAGUCUGAUAAGAAACACCUUACAACUUACUCGCUCUAAAGCCUACUACCUAAAGGCUUCCUCUGCUAAUAAGAACUUGGAUAUUCAUAACCCUUUAUCUUAACCCAGGCAUCCCUUUCUAUGAAUCCCAGGUCUUUAGAUAAACUCAGCCAAUCAUCAACUAGAAAACUUUUAAAUCUACCUAUAAGCUAGAUGACCCAUCCCACCCUCAGUUGAAGUUGUCCUGCCUUUCUGGACCAAACCAAUGUAUUUCUUAAAUGUGUUUGAUUGAAGUCUCAUGUCUUAAUAAAAUGUAUAAAGC